UAGGGAAUCUUCCGCAAUGGGCGAAAGCUUGACGGAGCAACGCCGCGUGAGUGAUGAAGGUCUUCGGAUCGUAAAACUCUGUUAUUAGGGAAGAACAAAUGUGUAAGUAACUAUGCACGUCUUGACGGUACCUAAUCAGAAAGCCACGGCUAACUACGUGCCAGCAGCCGCGGUAAUACGUAGGUGGCAAGCGUUAUCCGGAAUUAUUGGGCGUAAAGCGCGCGUAGGCGGUUUUUUAAGUCUGAUGUGAAAGCCCACGGCUCAACCGUGGAGGGUCAUUGGAAACUGGAAAACUUGAGUGCAGAAGAGGAAAGUGGAAUUCCAUGUGUAGCGGUGAGAUGCGCAGAGAUAUGGAGGAACACCAGUGGCGAAGGCGACUUUCUGGUCUGUAACUGACGCUGAUGUGCGAAAGCGUGGGGAUCAAACAGG
rnacentral:rRNA from 1 species